rnacentral:rRNA from 1 species
AGCGAACGCUGGCGGCAUGCCUUACACAUGCAAGUCGAACGGUAACAGGUCUUCGGAUGCUGACGAGUGGCGAACGGGUGAGUAAUACAUCGGAACGUGCCUAGUAGUGGGGGAUAACUACUCGAAAGAGUGGCUAAUACCGCAUGAGAUCUACGGAUGAAAGCAGGGGAUCGCAAGACCUUGUGCUACUAGAGCGGCCGAUGGCAGAUUAGGUAGUUGGUGGGAUAAAAGCUUACCAAGCCGACGAUCUGUAGCUGGUCUGAGAGGACGAUCAGCCAAACUGGGAGUGAGACACGGACCAGACUCCUACGGGAGGCAGCAGUGGGGAAUUUUGGACAAUGGGCGCAAGCCUGAUCCAGCAAUGCCGCGUGCAGGAUGAAGGCCUUCGGGUUGUAAACUGCUUUUGUACGGAACGAAAAGCCCUGGGUUAAUACCCUGGGGUCAUGACGGUACCGUAAGAAUAAGCACCGGCUAACUACGUGCCAGCCGCCGCAGUAACAC